rnacentral:rRNA from 1 species
UACGGGGGGGGCAAGCGUUGUUCGGAAUUACUGGGCGUAAAGGGCUCGUAGGUGGCCAACUAAGUCAGACGUGAAAUCCCUCGGCUUAACCGGGGAACUGCGUCUGAUACUGGAUGGCUUGAGUUUGGGAGAGGGAUGCGGAAUUCCAGGUGUAGCGGUGAAAUGCGUAGAUAUCUGGAGGAACACCGGUGGCGAAGGCGGCUCUCUGGGACGGUACUGACGCUGAGACGCGAAAGCGUGGGGAGCGAACAGG